AACGAACGCUGGCGGCAUGCCUAACACAUGCAAGUCGAACGAUCCCUCCGGGGUUUGUGGCGCACGGGUGCGGAACGCGUGGGAACUUGCCCUUGGGUUCGGUGUAACUCAGAGUAAUUUGAGUUCAUACCGGAUAAUGUCUUCGGACCUAAGAUUUAUUGCUUCUGGGUGGGCCCGCGUUGGUUUAGCUAGUUGGUGGGGUAAAGGCCUACUAAGGCGAUGAUCCGUGGCUGGUCGGAGAGGAGGCACAGCGACACUGGGACUGGGACACGGCCCAGACUCCUACGGGAGGCAGCAGAGAGUGAUAUAGGACAGGAGGCGAGAGCCAGAUCCAGCGCGGCCGCGUGAGUGAUGAAGGCGUUAGGGUUGUAAAUCUCUUUUACCCAAGAUGAUAAUGACGGUACCGGUAAAAUAGGCCCGGGCAAACACCGG
rnacentral:rRNA from 1 species